CCCAGAUAUUGACCGCAAUGAGCCUCUGGAGGAAUUCAUCAAGUCUAGGGGUUACUCAGAAUUAUUUCAGAAAGCCUAUCUUAUUCCAAUUUGUUCUUCUAUCUGGUCCUACGCUUCUGAAGGAGUUAUGAGCUUCUCUGCUUUCUCAGUUCUUUCGUUCUGUCGCAACCACCAUUUACUUCAGAUCUUUGGCAGACCACAGUGGCUAACUGUAAGAUGGCGCUCACAAAAUUAUGUAAAGAAGGUCGAAGAAGAGCUUGAAAGGGAUGGUAGUCACAUAAUAACUAACCGUGAGGUUCACUUGGUUUCGACAACUGAAAAAGGUG